rnacentral:rRNA from 1 species
UACGAAGGGGGCUAGCGUUGUUCGGAUUUACUGGGCGUAAAGCGCACGUAGGCGGAUCGUUAAGUCGGGGGUGGAAUCCUGGAGCUCAACUCCAGAACUGCCUUCGAUACUGGCGAUCUUGAGUCCGGAAGAGGUGAGUGGAACUCCUAGUGUAGAGGUGGAAUUCGUAGAUAUUAGGAAGAACACCAGUGGCGAAGGCGGCUCACUGGUCCGGUACUGACGGCUGAGGUGCGAAAGCGUGGGGAGCAAACAGG